UCCCCUGGCCGCUGCUCCAGCAGAGGCCGCGGCGAGCAGGCCUGGCCGCCGGGGGGCCACGCUGGCUCCUGCGGGUUCCUGGCCCGUGACCCUGAGGCCACGGCGGAGCCGCCGCUGCCGGAGCGGAGUCCAGGCAGGGCUCGGGGUGCAGCGGGCCGCGGCCGAGCUGCGGUUACCUGCGUCCUGCCGGCGCCUCGGGCCCGGGCCUGCCGCUGCCGCCACCGCCGCGCCGCCGCUUGUAGGCCGUAGGCGGAGCCGCCUCAGCCCGGUCUCGGCGCCCUCUGCCGGGGCCGGGGCCCAGCGGAGCGGCUGCGGGAGGAGGGCUGCAGCGGGCGGGAAGCGGAGCUGCCUUUGCCCUUCACCCCGUGCCCGUCAGGGCCGGGACGGCGGACGGAGGGACAGGCGGCAGGCUGGUGCGGGUGCCCUGCUGGAGCCGCCUGCGCCUCGGCACCGACCUCUGCCCCCUCCACAGCGAACAGAUCUAUCCUGCCGCCCCCACCUCGGGUUUGUCCGUGGUGUUUGUUUUCCGUUAUCGAGUCACAGAAUCGUUUCGUUUGGAAAAGACCUUCUAAGAUCAUCGAGUCCAACCAUGAGCACCGCUGGGCAGGUGUUUGCCUCCCUCACCACCCAUGCUGCCCUCCAGGUCCCGGGGUGGAAGAGCUCGGGAGUCAGUGCGUUCCUACUGCUCAUCCCCUUACGAUUUUAGACACCUCUGACACUACCUUUGCAACACUCGCUGAGGUAUUUUGCCUCUGCGAGCCAGUCUCAGACCUCGGUGCCGAGGGCUGCUCAGGCUCUGCCCACACGGCCAAGGCAGGAAACAGGCUCCCUGGGGUAUGGGCGCAGCAGAUCAGCGAAGCUUCCUGACCGCAGAUUAACUCGAAAGCUUGACCACCAAGACAGUCUAAUCCAAAUCCCAUUGUGGUCUGGGUUUCCCUUGUCCUUAUCUUUCUUACUUCCCUUCACAUUACGUCUCCCUUUUGCUCUACGUCUCCACUGCUGGUGGUAAUCCCUAACGGCUUCUCUUUGGAGCUCAGAAACUAAGGGAAUUCCACCCUUCCUUCUGCCUUCUCCCUGCUUGCGUUCUGCAGUGCACCAACCAUGCCCCUGGGGGUGCUUCUGAACACACCUCUGUACAAAACGCAACCCCACCAGAUUGGCAGCAUCUUGCCCUGAUCUAAAUCUGUACAAGGCUCAGGGUAAUUCUGGCAGUCAGAAGAGCUCCUCAGCUUUAAAGUUCUGCUCCUCACCUCACCUGACACAGACCAAUCCUUCCUUGGAGUGUUAUCAGCAAAUACAGCAAGAGAUCUAACCAGGGAGCUUCUAUUGCAUGGCAGCUGUGCAGUUAGCGUGGAGCAUGUAGAAGGCCACAUUGAGCCAUAAUGCAAAAGGAAAUAGAGGUGGGCAGUGCAGACUGCUCUGGCCAGUGCUGGAGAAGCUAAUAGAAGCCACCCUAACAAGUCAGAGCAUGGAGACCCACCUAAACUAGAAAUACAUAUCUGCCUUGCCAGAGAAAAUCAGUGUUACAUCAGUGGCCAAGCAAGUGGGAGGAAAACACUCAAGAGCUGCACGAGGUGUGUAAGUCACUUAGUAAGAAGAUCUGGAAUGAUCUGUCCCCCAGGAAAGUGUGUCCUUGCAACACUUGCUCUUCAAACUCUGGAUGUUCUCAUCACUGUGUGACCACUCCUUCUCUGCGCCUUGCCUAAUAAUACCCUGUGACAAAGAGUUCACCAUCUGAAAGAUACAUGAAUCUUCAACCUCCUUAGUGACACAUGAUAUGUGUCUAUCUUUUCAAAUCCUAGGCUGGUCCCUAUUUUUAUUAUCAAAUGGAAAGAAGAGUUGAUCUACCUUCCAGAGCUGGUCCAUUUACACACCUUUUAGUCAUGUCUGUUCUUACUUUGUCUUCUAAAAUAAACAG